GCCAUCGCUCAGUGGUACAGCAUCUACCUGUUGCAGAAGGUCCCGGGUUCAAACCCUGGCAUCUCCA